rnacentral:lncRNA from 1 species
UCUACUUCUUUCUGUGGCAAUAAUAUUAUGAAUAUAUAAACACAUGUUGAUAUGAAUGCAUGCCUCACUACAACAGAAUUAGAUUAUAGGGACAUAUGUUUUGGAUACUUUUGAGUAAGUGUCCCAUUUAUACUAAAAUUUAAAAAAACAUCUACUAAUGCCUAAAUAUAAAGCCCAAUCCAAUCAAAAAUAAAAGAGUACUCUACUCAACCCACCACACCCAGUCCAUUUGGCCCGAUUACAAACAAAAAAGAAAAACAAAAAGCAAAAUCAAUUACUAUCUUUUCUUUUCUAUUCACUCAAUCCACUGAAAUUCUAGACGAAGAGCCUUUCCUGUCGUUUUCCUCCGCCACCGCAGCCAACGAGAUAGAGUUUCCGCGGUUCCUAAAUGUUUAAAUAAGUGUUGGUAAAUUAGCAGCACUCUUUUAUGUUAUAGCGACACUCUUUAACUGUCACUAUAUACCUAGCGACCCUACAUAUAGCAACACUUUUUAAAAGUGUCGGUAAUUUUAGCUAGCAGCACUUUUUUAACAUGUACCUAUAUUUAAAAGUGUCGCUAUGCAUCAUUUUUAUUGUAGUGCCUUUUAUAAUUAACCUAUCGUGACAUAUU